AACGAACGCUGGCGGCAUGCCUAACACAUGCAAGUCGAACGAGACCUUCGGGUCUAGUUGCGCACGGGUGCGUAACGCGUGGGAACCUGCCCUUAGGUUCGGAAUAACUCCCCGAAAGGGGUGCUAAUACCGGAUAAUGUCUUCGGACCAAAGAUUUAUCGCCUUUGGAUGGGCCGGCGUUGGAUUAGCUAGUUGGUAGGGUAAAAGCCUACCAAGGCGACGAUCCAUAGCUGGUCUGAGAGGAUGAGCAGCCACACUGGGACUGAGACACGGCCCAGAAUCCUACGCGAGGCAGCAGUGGGGAAUAUUGGACAAUGGGCGAAAGCCUGAUCCAGCAAUGCCGCGUGAGUGAUGAAGGCCUUAGGGUUGUAAAGCUCUUUUACCCGGGAUGAUAAUGACAGUACCGGGAGAAUAAGCUCCGGCUAACUCCGUG
rnacentral:rRNA from 1 species